rnacentral:rRNA from 1 species
UAGGGAAUCUUCCGCAAUGGACGCAAGCCUGACGGAGCAACGCCGCGUGAGUGAAGAAGGAUUUCGGUUCGUAAAACUCUGUUGUUAGAGAAGAACAGCGCAUAGAGUAACUGUUAUGCGUGUGACGGUAUCUAACCAGAAAGCCACGGCUAACUACGUGCCAGCAGCCGCGGUAAUACGUAGGUGGCAAGCGUUGUCCGGAUUUAUUGGGCGUAAAGCGAGCGCAGGCGGUCAAUUAAGUCUGAUGUGAAAGCCCCCGGCUCAACCGGGGAGGGUCGUUGGAAACUGGUUGACUUGAGUGCAGAAGAGGGGAGUGGAAUUCCAUGUGUAGCGGUGAAAUGCGUAGAUAUAUGGAGGAACACCAGUGGCGAAGGCGACUCUCUGGUCUGUAACUGACGCUGAGGUUCGAAAGCGUGGGUAGCAAACAGG